rnacentral:rRNA from 1 species
AGAAAGGACCUUACCAGCCCUUGACAUACCGGUCGCGGACACAGAGAUGUGUCUUUCAGUUCGGCUGGACCGGAUACAGGUGCUGCAUGGCUGUCGUCAGCUCGUGUCGUGAGAUGUUGGGUUAAGUCCCGCAACGAGCGCAACCCUCGCCCUUAGUUGCCAGCAUUUAGUUGGGCACUCUAAGGGGACUGCCGGUGAUAAGCCGAGAGGAAGGUGGGGAUGACGUCAAGUCCUCAUGGCCCUUACGGGCUGGGCUACACACGUGUUACAAUGGUGGUGACAGUGGGCAGCGAGCACGCGAGUGUGAGCUAAUCUCCAAAAGCCAUCUCAGUUCGGAUUGCACUCUGCAACUCGAGUGCAUGAAGUGGAAUCGCUAGUAAUCGCGAUCAGCAG